rnacentral:rRNA from 1 species
UACAGAGGUGGCAAACGUUGUCCGGAUUUAUUGGGUGUAAAGGGCAUGUAGGUGGUCUUGUAAGUCAAAGGUGAAAUGGCCCGGCUCAACCAGGUCAUUGCCUUUGAAACUGCCGGACUCGAGUACGGAAGAGGAGAGCGGAAUUCCCAGUGUAGCGGUGAAAUGCGUAGAUAUUGGGAGGAACACCGGUGGCGAAGGCGGCUCUCUGGUCCGAAACUGACACUGAGAUGCGAAAGCCAGGGGAGCAAACGGG